rnacentral:rRNA from 1 species
UACGUAGGCAGCGAGCGUUGUUCGGAGUUACUGGGCGUAAAGGGUGUGUAGGCGGUUGUUUAAGUUUGGUGUGAAAUCUCCCGGCUCAACUGGGAGGGUGCGCCGAAUACUGAAUGACUAGAGUGCGGGAGAGGAAAGUGGAAUUCCUGGUGUAGCGGUGAAAUGCGUAGAUAUCAGGAGGAACACCGGUGGUGUAGACGGCUUUCUGGACCGUAACUGACGCUGAGGCGCGAAGGCGUGGGGAGCGAACGGG